AGUGAACGCUGGCGGUAGGCCUAACACAUGCAAGUCGAACGGCAGCACAGUAAGAGCUUGCUCUUACGGGUGGCGAGUGGCGGACGGGUGAGGAAUACAUCGGAAUCUACUUUUUCGUGGGGGAUAACGUAGGGAAACUUACGCUAAUACCGCAUACGACCUACGGGUGAAAGCAGGGGAUCUUCGGACCUUGCGCGAUUGAAUGAGCCGAUGUCGGAUUAGCUAGUUGGCGGGGUAAAGGCCCACCAAGGCGACGAUCCGUAGCUGGUCUGAGAGGAUGAUCAGCCACACUGGAACUGGGACACGGUCCAGACUCCUACGGGAGGCAGCAGUGGGGAAUAUUGGACAAUGGGCGCAAGCCUGAUCCAGCCAUACCGCGUGGGUGAAGAAGGCCUUCGGGCUGUAAAGCCCUUUUGUUGGGAAAGAAAAGCAGCAGGUUAAUACCCCGCUGUUCUGACGGUACCCAAAGAAUAAGCACCGGCUAACUUCGUG
rnacentral:rRNA from 1 species